CACGAACUGGUUCCUCAGUUCAUUAGCCAUUGGUCAUGUCUAUGAUGCUUCCCUAAUUUUCUUAAUUGCAUCUCAUGGUUCCAGGAACAAUGUGGAUAAAAGAACAGCACUUGAGAAUCUGGACCUCAUCCUUUUAUGCCUUGAUGAGAUUAUUGAUGGAGGGUAUGGCUUUAUACUUUUUGUGCGAUCAUUUUUAUGAUUAUUUAACAGUGGUCACAUAAACAUGUUUACGUGAUAAGAUCUGGUAAUGCUGUAUCUUUCAAAGUUUAGUUGUUAGAUUAAAACAAUGAUUCUUUAAAUUGAACACUUGUAGGAUAAGCAUAUCGAGAAAUGGCAGUUCUAUUGUAUAAAAGUAACCAGUCAAUUUAGUUUUCUUAAUUCUUGAAUAACAUAAAACUGGUUUGCACAAAACUCUGUCCUUUAUAAUGAAAAACAUUGUCAUUCACAUGCCUAGAUAUGUGUAUAUUCAUGUAGCUGUAUGUGGCAGCAGUGGUUUUAGCAAGGUUGAUAUUGUUAGUGGAGGUAAGGGACGGUGAACUUAUUUUCUGUUUUCAGCCUUUAUGGGGAUAAGAAGAAAGAGACGUCCCAUACGGGAUUAACCCCAAACAAUACAAUAACUCCCUUAAUAUUGGUCAUUUGCUUUGCAUGUGGAAGAAUGAAAAAUUGGAACAUAAAUUUGUUGAGUUCCUAGUAAAUUGAGUUCUUUCUAUAAAUAUGACUAUAAGUAGUCCAGAGAAUAUCUUUCUGCCCACUUUGUGGUCAAAGGCAUCAUCCUAAAUGGGAGUUUCGUUCUCAUACUCUGUCAAAAUUGAAGAUUACCUAGCACAAAUGUUGGUAAGGGUGUUUCACAAGUGAGGAAGUGUCCAAGGGCCUCGUUGACAUUCGUAAAAGAAUCUCCUAUGGUAGAUAGCCAUGGUCCUGACUCCCUGAGCCAUCUCAAUACUCAGGAUUUGGUAAACUGAGUGAACAAAAUUAUUCGACUAUAAAAAAUUUAAUGAGCAAUGGUCUUCGUAUUGAAUAUCACUUUGUAGUCCUAGUGAAAUUUAUCCUUGUAGAUUGCAAACCUCCAUAUGUAAUCAAUGCUUAUGCUGUGAUAGUGCACUUUGUAUGUUCAGGCUACAAGGAGUUUGACGGUUGAUUUCUUUUUGUUAAAAUGAAAAUUGUAUGUGAACUUGUGAUCGGGAUCAUAUUCCGUAGAAACAAUACUGUAUAAGCAUCUUCAUUAUGGUUUUGUGUCCCCAACCGGAGAGUCGUGAUUCUAGAAUUUUGUAAUAUGCUGACACAUCUAUCACUUUGUUGCACAGCAUCAUUCUGGAAACUGAAGCUAGCAUAAUUGCUGGAAAGGUUGCAACCCACGGCCUGGAUGGAGCAGCAUCCUUGUCUGAGCAGGUCCAAUUUUCUGUUUCAUCAAAGUCAACUCACUAAUCAAAUUGAUAUAUAUAUAUAUAUAUAUAUAUAUAUAUAUAUAUANNNNNNNNNNNNNNNNNNNNAACUACUACUAAUACUAAUAUAUAUAUAUAUAUAUAUAUAUAUAUAUAUAUAUAUAUAUUGCUCAUUUUCAUUAAAUGCAAUAUCCUAUCUUCUGCCUUUGCAGACUAUAACUCAAGCCCUAGCCACAGCUCGUGAGCACUUGGCAAGAUCUCUUCUUAAAUGACACUGUUCCAAGCCGGUGACCUUUUGUUUGGACGGAUAUGCAAACCGAGUGUUCCCUUUAGAAAAGCUUGUUUUUUGAUGUUGAAACUUUUUGUU
rnacentral:lncRNA from 1 species